rnacentral:rRNA from 1 species
UACGUAGGGUGCAAGCGUUAAUCGGAAUUACUGGGCGUAAAGCGUGCGCAGGCGGUUUUGUAAGUCAGAUGUGAAAUCCCCGGGCUUAACCUGGGAACUGCGUUUGAAACUACAAGGCUAGAGUGUGGCAGAGGGGGUGGAAUUCCACGUGUAGCAGUGAAAUGCGUAGAGAUGUGGAGGAACACCGAUGGCGAAGGCAGCCCCUGGGGUUAACACUGACGCUCAGGGCACGAAAGCGUGGGGAGCAAACAGG